UAGCUAGUUGGUGAGGUAACGGCUUACCAAGGCGACGAUCUGUAGCGGGUCUGAGAGGAUGAUCCGCCACACUGGAACUGAGACACGGUCCAGACUCCUACGGGAGGCAGCAGUGGGGAAUUUUGGACAAUGGGGGCAACCCUGAUCCAGCCAUGCCGCGUGAGUGAAGAAGGCCUUCGGGUUGUAAAGCUCUUUCGGCCGGGAAGAAAUCGCAUGGGCCAAUACCCUGUGUGGAUGACGGUACCGGAAUAAGAAGCACCGGCUAACUACGUGCCAGCAGCCGCGGUAAUACGUAGGGUGCGAGCGUUAAUCGGAAUUACUGGGCGUAAAGCGUGCGCAGGCGGUUUUGUAAGACAGGCGUGAAAUCCCCGGGCUCAACCUGGGAACUGCGUUUGUGACUGCAAGGCUAGAGUACGGCAGAGGGGGGUGGAAUUCCACGUGUAGCAGUGAAAUGCGUAGAGAUGUGGAGGAACACCAAUGGCGAAGGCAGCCCCCUGGGUCGAUACUGACGCUCAUGCACGAAAGCGUGGGUAGCAAACAGGAUUAGAUACCCUGGUAGUCCACGCCCUAAACUAUGUCAACUAGGUGUUGGGUGGGUAAAACCAUUUAGUACCGUAGCUAACGCGUGAAGUUGACCGCCUGGGGAGUACGGCCGCAAGGUUAAAACUCAAAGGAAUUGACGGGGACCCGCACAAGCGGUGGAUGAUGUGGAUUAAUUCGAUGCAACGCGAAAAACCUUACCUACCCUUGACAUGCCAGGAACUUGCCAGAGAUGGCUUGGUGCCCGAAAGGGAGCCUGGACACAGGUGCUGCAUGGCUGUCGUCAGCUCGUGUCGUGAGAUGUUGGGUUAAGUCCCGCAACGAGCGCAACCCUUGUCGUUAAUUGCCAUCAUUUAGUUGGGCACUUUAGCGAGACUGCCGGUGACAAACCGGAGGAAGGUGGGGAUGACGUCAAGUCCUCAUGGCCCUUAUGGGUAGGGCUUCACACGUCAUACAAUGGUCGGUACAAAGGGUCGCCAAGCCGCGAGGUGGAGCCAAUCCCAGAAAGCCGAUCGUAGUCCGGAUUGCAGGCUGCAACUCGCCUGCGUGAAGUCGGAAUCGCUAGUAAUCGUGGAUCAGCAUGUCACGGUGAAUACGUUCCCGGGUCUUGUACACACCGCCCGUCACACCAUGGGAGCGGGUUCCGCCAGAAGUAGGUAGCCUAACCGCAAGGAGGGCGCUUACCACGGCGGGGUUCGUGACUGGGGUGAAGUCGAAACAAGGUAGCCGUAGGGGAACCUGCGGCUG
rnacentral:rRNA from 1 species